CAGCCGCCGCGGUAAUACAGAGGAUGCAAGCGUUAUCCGGAAUUAUUAGGCGUAAAGGGCUCGCAGGCGGUUUCUUAAGUCUGAUGUGAAAGCCCCCGGCUCAACCGGGGAGGGUCAUUGGAGACUGGGAAACUUGAGUGCAGAAGAGGAGAGUGGAAUUCCACGUGUAGCGGCGAAAUGCGUAGAGAUGUGGAGGAACACCAGUGGCGAAGGCGACUCUCUGGUCUGUAACUGACGCUGAGGAGCGAAAGCGUGGGGAGCGAACAGGAUUAGAUACCCCUGUAGUCCCUGUCUCUUUACA
rnacentral:rRNA from 1 species